GGUUCUGUAUUCAAUAAUGAUUUUAAAUUGCAAAUUUAAAGGUGAGUUAAUUUCCAGAACUU
rnacentral:tRNA from 1 species